AUUGAACGCUGGCAGCAUGCUUUACACAUGCAAGUCGAACGGUAGGGUAGCAAUACCUGAGAGUGGCGAACGGGUGAGUAAUGCAUCGGAACAUGCCUAUUAGUGGGGGAUAGCCCGGCGAAAGCCGGAUUAAUACCGCAUACGAUCUAAGGAUGAAAGCAGGGGACCGCAAAGGCCUUGCGCUAAAUGGAGUGGCCGAUGUCAGAUUAGCUAGUUGGUGGGGUAAAGGCUCACCAAGGCGACGAUCUGUAGCUGGUUUGAGAGAACGACCAGCCACACUGGGACUGAGACACGGCCCAGACUCCUACGGGAGGCAGCAGUGGGGAAUUUUGGACAAUGGGCGCAAGCCUGAUCCAGCAAUGCCGCGUGCAGGAUGGAGGCCUUCGGGUGUAAACUGCUUUGUACGGACGAAACGGCCUUGGCUAAUACCUGGGGCUAAUGACGGUACCGUAAGAAUAAGCACCGGCUAACUACGUGCCAGCAGCCGCGGUAAU
rnacentral:rRNA from 1 species